GAUGAACGCUGGCGGCGUGCCUAACACAUUCAAGUCGAACGGUGACGGGGACUUCGGUCCCCUGAUCAGUGGCGGACGGGUGAGUAACGCGUGAGCAACCUGCCUCUGCGUGGGGGAUAACGAUUGGAAACGAUCGCUAAUACCGCAUAAUGUAAUUUCUUGGCAUCUUGAAAUUACCAAAGAUUUAUUGCGCAGAGAUGGGCUCGCGUCUGAUUAGAUAGUUGGGGGGGUAACGGCCUACCAAGGCGACGAUCAGUAGCCGGACUGAGAGGUUGAACGGCCACAUUGGAACUGAGAAACGGUCCAGACUCCUACGGGAGGCAGCAGUGGGGAAUAUUGGGCAAUGGGCGAAAGCCUGACCCAGCGACGCCGCGUGCGGGUAGAAGGUCUUCGGAUUGUAAACCGCUGUUGAUAGGGAAGAAGAAAGUGACGGUACCUAUCGAGGAAGUCACGGCUAACUACGUGCCAGCAGCCGCCGCGGUAA
rnacentral:rRNA from 1 species